rnacentral:tRNA from 1 species
GUCCCCAUCGUCUAGGCUGGCCUAGGACACUAGAUUUUCAUUCUAGCAACAGGGGUUCGAAUCCCCUUGGGGACGCCA